UACGUAGGGGGCAAGCGUUGUCCGGAUUUAUUGGGCGUAAAGAGCGUGUAGGCGGCUAGAUAGGUCCGUUGUGAAAACUGGAGGCUCAACCUCCAGCUGUCGAUGGAAACCAUCUGGCUAGAGUCCGGAAGAGGAGAGUGGAAUCCCUGGUGUAGCGGUGAAAUGCGCAGAUAUCAGGAAGAACACCCGUGGCGAAGGCGGCUCUCUGGGACGUGACUGACGCUGAGACGCGAAAGCGUGGGGAGCGAACAGG
rnacentral:rRNA from 1 species